CAAAACUGCUCAAUACAAUGUACCGCACCAGCGUGCCCCGCGCUUGAUAGAAGGUCUCUGCAGUGCGCCCCGCGCUAGACCAUCAGUGGCUCUUAACUGCUCCAGCGCGCUCCACGCUAUAUUGCUCUUCAUCUCGGCGCGGUCCGCGCUAUGUCAACAGUAAGUUGCGCUUUUGCUCAAAAACUCCUCCAAUGCUCACAUCUUGAUAGAUCAACCUAAUUGUCCUAUAUUAGACACAAAACCCAUCAAAACUAACAUGAAAGUACCAAAAACUAACAAUAUAACAACCCAAACGAACAUAAAUCAUAGGUUAAAAACCUACUCAUCAAAUUCCCCCAAACUUGAACAUUGCUUGUCCUCAAGCAAAAUGCAAUGUAAUGCAACGCCUCUAACACUAAAACUACGAAUCCAGUGUUAUGAUAAUAACGAUAAUUACUCAUAUGGCCUCAGAGAAAUCAAGUAAACAUGUUAACACCUCAAAACAAAACCAAUUCAUAAUUCCUUGCCAACCAUUGCAUCUCAAACUAUUAUCACUAUUAUAGUGUGUGUGUGUUCCAACCAUAUAAAUUGACAUACAAUCAAAUUUAAUACAUAACAAAUCUCUUCUAAGGCAUCAUACAAUAUAAAUUUAAGACAUCCACAACAAGCUAAUUCCAACCAACGCCACACAAUAACCAAUUUCAAGGAUCAACAUGGGAUAUUUAUGCUAUACUUAUCAAUUACGGGGGCAUUUUGCUCUUAUUUCCCGUUUUAUUCAAAUUUUUGUUUUAUAUAUAUAUAUACACAUAACUAUGCAAUGUCUUAUUCCCUUAGGCUUUUCAAUGCUACCUUAACGAGCUUUCGACCAACGACUCCCAGAUCAUUAAGACCUUUUGAUUGCACGCUAUGGUGUUUAUUCAUUUUUUUCUCUUUUUUUUAUAUAGCUUAUACACCCCAAAUAUUCCCCCAAACUUAGGUCCUUAUCUAACUCGUGUACUUCCUUCAUUUAAACUAGUAACAUCCUUUAGAGUCUUAUUAUGAAUCAAUUUAAGUGCAAUCAAUCAAUAUGUUGGUUUUCUUGUGCCUUCCUUAUUAUAAUAGUUUCAAACAGAAGAAAGAUUCAACUUAUAACAAGAAAUUACUUCAAAGUUCCCUUAAUUGGUAUUGCACUUGUUUACCGCAUUCCAAUCUCAUCAUUGGCCAAAAACAAACAUAUACCAACUAUCCACUAGAUUCAU
rnacentral:lncRNA from 1 species